GCAAAGAUAACACGCGGCUGGACAGCGUGUUCGACGUCGCCGGACAGCGUGUGGCCACGAUCGACUCCUUGCGCAACUCCACUUACACAACCUACGACGACCGCGGCCGCGUAGUCCAAGAACGGCUCGCUGAUCCAGACGGCAACGGAAAGCUGGUUGCGCCAGUUACGACCCACGAGUAUGACGCGGCCGGCAAUCGCAGCAAGACGACCGACCCGCUCGGCAACGAGAAGUUCUUCGCCUACGACUCGCUGAAUCGCCUCCGCAAAGAAUCGCAAUACGAAACCGUUAUCGCCGAUAACUCGAAUGUCGCGGAUGACGUCAACUUUGCGGUUACAACCGGCG
rnacentral:misc_RNA from 1 species